ACGGAGGGUGCAAGCGUUAAUCGGAAUUACUGGGCGUAAAGCGCACGCAGGUGGCUGAGUCAGUCGAUUGUGAAAGCCCUGGGCUUAACCUGGGAAUUGCAGUCGAUACUACUCGGCUAGAGUACGGGAGAGGGAAGUGGAAUUCCCGGUGUAGCGGUGAAAUGCGUAGAUAUCGGGAGGAACAUCUGUGGCGAAGGCGACUGCCUGGACCAGCACUGACACUGAGGCACGAAAGCGUGGGGAGCAAACAGGA
rnacentral:rRNA from 1 species